rnacentral:rRNA from 1 species
GAUGAACGCUGGCGGCGUGCCUAAUACAUGCAAGUCGAACGAACAGAUGAGGAGCUUGCUCCUCUGACGUUAGCGGCGGACGGGUGAGUAACGCGUGUAUAACCUACCUAUCAGACGGGGAUAACUUCGGGAAACCGGAGCUAAUACGGGAGAAUAUAUUGAACCGCAGGGUGCAAUGGUGAGAGACGGUGGUGCUGGCACUUCUAGAUGGAUCCGCGCCGCAUUAGCUGGUUGGUAAGGUAAAGGCUUACCAAGGCAACGAUGCGUAGCCGAACUGAGUGGGUGGUAGGCGACCUGGGAGCGUGGCCAGCGUCAAGAGUCCUACGGGAGGCAGCAGUAGGGAAUCGUACGCAGUGGUCGGAAGCCUUACGGAGCAACGCCGCGUGAGUGAUGAAGGCGUUCGGAUCGGAAAACCCUGUUACUAGGUAAGAACCAAUGUGUAAGUAAACAUGCAGUUCUUGACGGUAAUGGAUCAGAAAGCCACGGCUAACUACGUG